AGAACAAUGGCUCCAAGAGGAAGUGCACUAUAUUUUAUGUCCCUUAUCUUGCAUACUUAGCUCUUCCUGAGUUCCUACAGAAGUUAUGAAUCCAACAUAAAUCCAGGUUCAGAAGGUGAAGGUAACUAUACAUCACCACUAAUGCUGCAGGGCAGGGAUUGGGACAGUCUCAGGCUGGACUCAGUAGCGAAUGGAGCUGCAUUCAGGAACUGGAUUCAGGACUGCAUGGAAAGUCAUCAUCAGCAAACAGAUGGACAAGGUCCUCACUGCAGAGAUCCAAUGCACAGCAUGAGCAAGUAUGAUUCUCAUAUUUGGGGAAGCACGAUAAGAAUUUCAAAAUUCAGCCCAGAUGUCAUCAAAUAUAUUCCUCAUUGGAAAGAAAACCCGUAAUUAGCCAACCAAUGCUUUUCACUGUGAAUGAUCACAGUUGUUUUCAUUUCCUUCAGGAACAUAGCCUUGGAAGUAAUGGUAUUUUUAACUAUGGAUAGAAAGUUUGUGUUUUAUUUUGAGAAGACAUAUUUAUUGCCAAAUCCAAGAGUGUGCCUUCUCAGAGAUACCUCUUUGUAGGGACUUGGAUUCUUUUAUGGAAAGCUGGGGACAUACAUUCUUCCAGCUUUGCACUCCAAUGACAGCACCUAGCUGCAUAUGUAGAACAACAUGAAUCUUGGCCUUCUUAGCUCUCUGAAUAGGUAUAAGCAUGUCAGAAUUUUCUCAGAAGUUUUGAAACUUCUGUCCAUCCUACUGGGAUUCUUAAAUCUCUUUCUUUAAAUUCUCUUUAAAUGAGUCACAGUUUUGACUGCAACUAGAAAUUGAUAAUCAUCUGACAGCAGAGUGUAACAUUCCCUAACCCAUACUAAUUCUAACUGCGACCUGGAGAGUUUUGCCAUGUGAUCUGAAGCCUCCCAGCAUGGAGGGGACAAUGAGGUAGUUUAUUGACUUUCUCAGUCUUUUCUUUUACUGAGAGAUCUAUGUUACUGGUCUAAGAAACAUGCCUUGAUUAGCAUGUCUGCUGUCAGCUGUGACUUCUCAGCAACUUCUUUUCCAUUUCUAGUGCUGCAGUUCUCUGGGCUUAGUGGCUUUAUCAGGAUUAUUUGUCAUCACUUGUGAUUAGGUUGCAUUCCCACUGCAGCUCAAAGGUGAUUAAGCUAUUCCUUUCCAACAGGCACAGCCAACAGAUGAUGGUCCCCCCUGCUAAUACUGCAAUUUUACCCAGUAAUUGUUCCAUACAAAACCAGCUGUGCUGGAAAGGAAUGGCAGAACCUCCGGUUCUUUUA